rnacentral:tRNA from 1 species
GAGGGUAUAGCUCAAGGGGUAGAGUGCAUGCUUAGCAUGCAGGAGAUUCUGGGUUCAAACCCCAGCACUUCCU